rnacentral:rRNA from 1 species
UACGAAGGGGGCUAGCGUUGUUCGGAAUCACUGGGCGUAAAGCGCACGUAGGCGGAUCUUUAAGUCAGGGGUGAAAUCCCGAGGCUCAACCUCGGAACUGCCUUUGAUACUGGGGAUCUCGAGUCCGGGAGAGGUGAGUGGAACUCCGAGUGUAGAGGUGAAAUUCGUAGAUAUUCGGAAGAACACCAGUGGCGAAGGCGGCUCACUGGCCCGGUACUGACGCUGAUGUGCGAAAGCGUGGGGAGCAAACAGG